UAUGUGAUCGUCUCUCGCAUAUCAAUAAGCGGAGGAAAAGAAACUAACUAGGAUUCCCUAGUAACGGCGAGUGAAGCGGGAAGAGCUCAAAUUUGAAAUCUUAAAGGGUUUCCCUUUACGAAUUGUAGUUUAAAGAAGUGUUUUCUGUUGAGGUUUCGGUAAAAGUUCUUUGGAAUAGGACAUCAUAGAGGGUGAGAAUCCCGUAUUUGACCUUUACUUUCAACUUUGUGAUACACUUUCAAAGAGUCGGAUUGUUUGGGAAUGCAGUCCAAAAUGGGUGGUAAAUUUCAUCUAAAGCUAAAUAUUGGCGAGAGACCGAUAGCGAACAAGUACCGUGAGGGAAAGAUGAAAAGAACUUUGAAAAGAGAGUUAAACAGUACGUGAAAUUGUCAAAAGGGAAGCGUUUGACACCAGUGUUGUUUUUCUGAAAAUCAAUUAAAGAACUGUUUAUGCUAAGUUGUUUAGACUUUAUCAGCUAACUGUUUAGUUUUGAGCUUUUCUUUAAUGCACUUUUCAGUUAACAAGUCAACAUCAAUUUCUUUUGCUGUAAAAAAGCUUGAGGAAGGUGGCUUGAGAUUCGUCUUAAGUGUUUAUAGCCUCUUGCCUAUGCAGUCGGAGAGAUUGAGGUCUGCAGCGUAGAUCCUUCGGGGCUAAAUGCAUUUGUGCUAAGCUAUAGCAUUUUAUAGACAACUUGUUGACUAUGAUUUGUCUUGUAGCUUACUCGCUUAUGUUAUUUUACCUACGCUUAGGAUGUUGAUCUACAGAGCGAGAGU
rnacentral:rRNA from 1 species